CCGCUCUUCUCCGCACCCCUCCCAAAACACAGGGCGAGCCCCGGAGACCUCGGGUUACUCUGCUGUUCUCCACGAGGUUUUAUUAUUUUUCGCCCUAUUGUUUCUGGAAGAAACAAGAAUGCCUUUGGUGCUUGUUUGAACCGGGAUGCGGGAAGCCGGCAGGCAGCGUGCUGUGUUGUUGGCGAUUUGGAUUUUGAUGAUGGAAAAUUCCCCACGGGAAAAAAAAAGUCAUAAACCUCAGAGCAGCAAAGACCGCAGGCUGUUUGGGGCAAAAAGUUUUGAGUAUGAAGUUUGAAUCAGUUUUGGGAAAAUGAUCAUUUUAAAAAGAUCCGAAACCUCUUUGGAAACGGAUUCCAGCGCUGUGAUGCACAGGCAUUUUUCGCUGUCUGCAAACACUGGCGCAGGGUCUGCGCUCAGCUCCCUGCAGCUGCAGUCACAGCUCUUCCCUGGGCUCUUGGCCUUCCCAAAACUGCCUGUGCCAUGUCCAGGACACGCUGGUCAUCUAAAGAGUCUCAUCAAAAGAACUUCUUUUCUUGUUUGUGUUAUCACUAUUCCUCUUGCAGGUUUUGAGCAUCCCAAAGUGGUUUUAUGGAGGUCUUGCCUUGCUGUGCAUUGAGUGUGAGUGAUGUGCUCUGUUCAAUAUACAGAAAAAUGCAACCUCAGUCUUCAAAUGGUUGAAAUUCAAAAGACAGACAUUCUAAGAUGGGAAAUAUAUUCUAUUUCUGUUUCACGCAGAUCCUGGGUACUCACAGAGAAUGCAGAUUUCAAGACUCUGCUCUGUGGAAGAGAUCCAAAUGAGCUCAAAAAGGAAUCCUAAACUGAAUUCUUCCCCUUUCUUUCUGACCUGGACGUGAAUGUUAACUCAUACUAACUAGGGAAUUAGCCUUGAAUAAGCAACCAGAACAAAUUUAUUUUUGUUGUCAGUACAAGCAGUAACUUUCCCAGUUCCUGGGUCCAGCCUAAGCACAGUAUGAAUAUAUUCAGGGAUAGUUACAGUUCUGGCAGGCAAGAUACUCAAUAUUCAUGAGUGUGGCUCUUCUGUUUAUUUCACAGGAAUGGGAAUCAGGUGAGCCUGGUUCUGUCUGUUCAUCCAGAAAUGGCUUUUUUCUUCUGAUUUUUCUUGAUUAAUAGAAAGUCUCUUCUUCCUUCAGAGAUAGACCAGUUGACUCAGGUUAGAGGAACAUCUUGAAGUCUAAAGUGGGGGAAUGUUACAAAGGAGUGGAAUAUUACUUGCAGACCUCACCCUUGUGCAUUGGCCAUAAGAUUAUAAGAUUUGGAUGAACACCUUUAAAUCAGUUUUUAAAGGCCUGUUUAAAUCAAUAGUUAUCUGGAAUGGUUGAUAGUAAAUUGUAAUUUUUAAAGUAUUUUUCUUCAAGUUCUGUCUUCUGUAGAUUACUGCACUUGAGUCUUGGCUUUCAUUAGAGAAAAAAAGUAUGUUUGUAGUUGCCAUGGCUACAAAGAAAAGCAAGAAAGAUGUGAACCUUGAUAAUUCUGGAACCAAAAUGCAAAUAAGAGGAAAUCUAAAUGUUGUAUGAUAAGGGAAGAGAAAUUACCAAUAACAGUCUUCAGACAUUUAAUUAGGACAUAAUGACAACAAAAUGCUCUGCCUGUUAAGU
ensembl:lncRNA